rnacentral:misc_RNA from 1 species
GGAGAACAGAUUUUCAACCGAAUUUGUUUAUCCGAAACACCUUUGUUAACUCCCACCUCUUUUUCUGUUUCAGCCAGAAUUUCGCGGCGAAUAGCGGAGAAAUCAUAGAAUCGUUUCUCAGAAAGGUGACCAAACUCUCCCCAUUCAAGCGAAUCAUUACCAAUUUCAGCAGAACGUUUCUCAAGCUGAAGAACUAGUGGUCGGCGAGUGCAAAUAUCACAGCCGCGCGGUAGAAAAUCACGGCCAACUAAAGCUUCAAGUACACUCGACUUUCCACUACUUUGACUACCAAUCACCGCCACUUGCGGCAGCCGGAGACCGGUAAAUCGAUCGUCGAUAUCGCCGAGCGGUGAGAAGAUAUCCUGAAGCUUAUUGAUUAUUGGAAUCACAGAUGAACCGAUGAAGAAUGAAGGAUGUGUAGAUUGUGCAACGUCGGAGUUUGAAUUUGAAUUUGAUCUCUUCGAAUUUUUCCCCAUUUUUUUAUGGGAUUUUGCUAUCAGUGUGACAGAUGGG